UACUCCUACGGGAGGCAGCAGUGGGGAAUCUUGCGCAAUGGGCGAAAGCCUGAUGCAGCAACGCCGCGUGCGGGAAGAAGGCCCUCGGGUUGUAAACCGCUUUCAGAAGGAACGAAACUGACGGUACUUUCAGAAGAAGGUGCGGCCAACUACGUGCCAGCAGCCGCGGUGACACGUAGGCACCAAGCGUUGUCCGGAUUUAUUGGGCGUAAAGAGCUCGUAGGCGGUUCAGUAAGUCGGGUGUGAAAACUUUGGGCUUAACCCAAAGCGUGCAUCCGAUACUGCUGUGACUUGAGUACGGUAGGGGAGCGGGGAAUUCCUAGUGUAGCGGUGAAAUGCGCAGAUAUUAGGAGGAACACCGGUGGCGAAGGCGCCGCUCUGGGCCGAAACUGACGCUGAGGAGCGAAAGUAUGGGUAGCAAACAGGAUUAGAUACCCUGGUAGUCCAUGCCGUAAACGUUGGCACUAGGUGUGGGUUCCAACCAACGGAAUCCGCGCCGUCGCUAACGCAUUAAGUGCCCCGCCUGGGGAGUACGGCCGCRAGGUUAAAACUCAAAUGAAUUGACGG
rnacentral:rRNA from 1 species